rnacentral:lncRNA from 10 species
GGUUUCAGUGUCAAAUGGAGCCUUGGUGGUGACUCCAGGGUUACGUGGAACUUCCUCUGGAAGGCACUUUGCCAAAAUAAAAAGUUGAAGAUUGACCAUGGGCAACAGUAGAAAGAGCUGGGCUUUGGAAUCAGUCAAUCACUGCUCACUGUCUUAUUAGUUAUAUGAUGCUAGGUAAGUUAUUAUUAUUCUAGAGCCUCCAUUCCUUUAUCUGUGAGAUGGAACUAAUAUUCUCUAACUUAAAAUGAUGAUGUAUAAAGAUUAAAAGUAGGUAUCUUUUUUAAAAGACAGAGUUUUAUUGGUUACUCAUGAAGUUUUAUUUCUGCUGUUUUUGUUAGAAUCGAAGCUGAGAAGACAGUGCUGCACAGGCCUGGGUCUGAGAAGCGACCUCUAGAGUUAAUUACCAAAAAGUCUACAAAGCCAGAUUGAGUGAUUGGCCUCCUAUCCAGUUUGGAUCUCUAACUCAGGAUUUCAGACCCCCACAUUGGCUUGUUCCUUCCAGGUAGCCAUGAUUCCCCAAAUGCUGAUACUUGGGAUGCAUGCACAAACAUUUAUUUCCAUUCUGUCACCCAGGUGUCUACUGACACUUCUCUGCUACUCCAGCACCUGCAACUGCUCACACUGUCUCUGUGCUUUAGUCUCUUUGUAGCUUCUCCACUACCUGAAAUUACAUUCUAAGCUUACAGGUUAGCCUGUUCAUUAUUCAACUGUACCAUUAAAAAUAUAAAUUUCAUGAGG